CUUUUCCCACACUUUGGCACUGAGACAAUGAGACAUGCUGUAGGCGGCCAGUGCUGAACUAUAUGGGUCGUCUUGGCUAGGUUUUUUUAUUUGCCAAUUAAGAAGCUGGAUCACAUUCCUGGAUUCUCUCUGGAUGGAGAUGGCCUGUGCCCAGAGCAGAACUGGACCUCUGUUUGAACGUCAUUCUUCUCUCCAGCGUGAACAUCUAAAUGGUAACAAUAUAAACCUCUGGAUGGAAAAUGAACUAAAGGAAAACUAAACUAAACAUUUUGACUUUGAGCUUAAUAGGACCGGGGUUGAUUUUGAUAUGCCGGAUUGUUUUUGGUUAUUGGUAAAUUGUGUUUAAAUUUAAAUUUUUUUACAAAAUAAUAACUAUUUUUGCUCAUUUCUUGUCUCCAGCCAUUUUAUUUUGCAUUCACUUUGUUUCCUAUUGUAAUCAACUGGACUAUACUUUCGAAUUAUCACAGCUUAGAGGUUACACUUCACUGCAUCAGUUAAGGUCAGAGGUCAUGAUUCAACAAUAAGCACAGAGAGUUUCAAGGUCCGAACCACUGCUGACCCAAAAGAACAAAAGGAGACCUGUCUUACCUUUACCAAGAAACAUCUUGAUGAUUUCUAAGACUUUUGGAAAAAUAUUCUGUGGACUGAUGAGACAACAGUGGGACUUUUUGAAAGGUGUGGCUGCAGUGUGAUGUCCUGGGGCUGCAUUGUUGCUUCAAGGCCUUUAGGACCUGCUGUAACUGAUGGACCCAUGAAUUCUGCUCGAUCAUAGAAAACCCUGAAGAAUUUCCAUCCAUAACAGAAGUUUAGAUUUUGUAAUGGCCUAGUCACAGUGCAUGCAACAAUAAAGAGCUCUUUUGUAUGGAGAA